CUCUAUUUGAUCGCUGCUUUCUAACCAACUGAUUCGUUCUGUCCUCUACUUUUUCCUGCAUGUAAACUUCUUAUGAGCAAUGACCCUGCCGUAUGCACCCAGGGCCCAUCUCCAUGCCUGCUGCAGAGGCCUCCCUGGGAGCUCACCGGCCUCACCCAAGCUCGCAGCAUUGUGCCGGGAAAGGAUGUUCUCGGCUCCGGCCUUUUUCCUCCUCUCCUGGGGACAGAACAUGGAUCCUGGAAGGCAUUGAGGACCCUGUGCUCAGCCCCUGCCCAUCCCUUCCACCACUUAUCUGUCCUGUAGGCACACUGACGCGGCUUUCACAAAAUGGGAGGCUCUGAGAGGGAACAUCUCCCUGGAUCCCCUCUCUUCCAAUGGACCUGUGCUAUGGUCUGAAAGUUUGUGUCUCCUGGAAAUUCAUAUGUUGAGAACUAACCCCAAGGCAAUGAGGCCCCAGAGGCUGCCUUGUCCUUUCCACCUCAUGGGACACAGCAAGAAGGAGCCGUCUGUGAACCAGGAAGCAGGCCCUCACCAAACCUGCUGCCAUCUUGAUUUUGGACUUCCAGCUUCCAGAGCUGUAAUAAAGAAACUUCUGUUGUUUAUAA
rnacentral:lncRNA from 1 species